rnacentral:lncRNA from 1 species
AUUAAAUAGCGUUUUCAUUAGAUGAUAGCCGCUAAUUAUACUAAUUUCUGUUAUCAUCACAGAAAUUCGUUUCAAAAAAGAAAAAGUAAUUUUAACUUCACUGCUUACAUCUUUUGCAAUGCAGUGUUUACAAAUAUAUCGAGUUUAUAUUUUCUCCGGUUUUAAACAACGCAAGCCAGAACAUUUUUGACCGAAUUUGAAUACCUGACAGGCUUUUCGUCAAUGGAAACAUAAAUUUUUUUAAAUAACUGCAAUUUCAAGUAACUUGCGGAUGUUUGGGUGCGUAUGUAAAAAACUCUAACUACAGGGAAUAUAAAUCGCUUCAAAUACGCUUUCA